UACGUAGGGCGCGAGCGUUGUCCGGAUUUAUUGGGCGUAAAGAGCUCGUAGGCGGCUUGUUGCGUCACGUGUGAAAACCCGCAGCUCAACUGUGGACUUGCAGCUGAUACGGGCAGGCUUGAGUUCGGUAGGGGAGACUGGAAUUCCUGGUGUAGCGGUGAAAUGCGCAGAUAUCAGGAGGAACACCGGUGGCGAAGGCGGGUCUCUGGGCCGAUACUGACGCUGAGGAGCGAAAGCGUGGGGAGCGAACAGG
rnacentral:rRNA from 1 species